rnacentral:lncRNA from 1 species
GGCAAAGCUUAAGAGAAACAUUUAAGGAAACACCCACUUGGAAGGAAGAACCAAGAGUUGACUCCAUUCCAAGAAAUCACAUCAUUCAUCUGAUCCGGGCUAUAUCUCUCCCAGCAAGAUAUGUAUGAAGAACGGAAAAGAAAUGAUUAGAAACAUUAAAAUAGAAAAGAAAAAUUGGAUGAUUUUGAGAAAGGAAUCAGAAGAUUUGUACAACCCACAGGGAGGGAGUUAUUCCUUCUCCCAACUUCCUGCUGUUGGAGUGGAGGCAUGUGACCUUGGCUGGCUGAUUAAACGCUCCAGCCUGGGUUUUGAAUAUGGAAGAACGUGCUGAGGUUGUGAGCUGAAAAGCAAAUGUGAAGACUCUGUGCUUUGCCAAACUGCAGCAUCAAGUCUCAGGGACUGAAGUAGCCGUAGCUCAUGCAGACUAUCAUCAUGGAAUUGCCUUAUAACUAGAAGAGGAAUGGACAUCGCCUCAGAAGCUGAAGAGGAUGCUGGACUGUGAACAGGAUGCAGAGGCUUAUGAACCUUUAUCAUCCUCUCCUUGGGAAGAAAGUUCCAAGUUCUUCGCAGAUUUAAUGCAAGUUAGAUUCUUCAAACUCUAGAGGCAUCAACAUGAAUUGGAAAAGUAUAGACAACCUUCAUAAUGGGAUGACGUCUAUUGAAUCUCAGCACACAGUGUGGGCCCAGCAGUUGAAGACAAGCCAAGCCCCAAGGAGGAGGGCAAGCAAUCCCAGAAGCCACUGGGCAUGGGAGGGGCAAGGUUUUCUCAACAUGGCCUCACAGGGGUUACAGCUAUGAAAGCAGGUAAAUCAUGCAGGAGGCUGUGGGAGAAGGAGGUGUGGGCAUCUGCAAGGAUGAUAUGUAGCUUUGGAAGAUGAAGCCUGGCACCUGAUGUCCCUUCCUUGUGUGUCUGUCAGCCUGUUACAGAUCGAGCUGAGGUUGCAUCAUUUUAUUCUGAGUAAAUUACUCUAUAAAAUCG